rnacentral:rRNA from 1 species
AGUCGGGGGCUGUAAAGCUCUCGUCUACACCCAUGUCUUUUGCGUACUCUUGUUUCCUCGGUGGCGCAAGCUGCCGAUUGGACAAACCAAAACCUUUUUUGUAAUUGCAAUCAGCGUCUGAAAAUAAUCUAAUUAUUUACAACUUUCAACAACGGAUCUCUUGGUUCUGGCAUCGAUGAAGAACGCAGCGAAAUGCGAUAAGUAGUGUGAAUUGCAGAAUUCAGUGAAUCAUCGAAUCUUUGAACGCACAUUGCGCCCCUUGGUAUUCCAUGGGGCAUGCCUGUUCGAGCGUCAUUUGUACCCUCAAGCUUUGCUUGGUGUUGGGCGUCUUGUCGUAUUACGACUCGCCUUAAAUUCAUUGGCAGCCGGCACUUUGGCCUAGGAGCGCAGCACAUUUUGCGAUCGUAGCCCGUUGUACUGGCGUCCAUCAAGAACAUUUACCACGUUUGACCUCGGAUCAGGUAGGGAUACCCGCUGAACUUAAGCAUAUCA